AAGUGUUACAGCUCUUUUAGUUUGUCUAGCAGGUUUUACAGUUUUCAUCAAAAAACCUCA
rnacentral:snRNA from 1 species